rnacentral:rRNA from 1 species
ACAAAACCUAGCCCACUUUAUUUUUAUACAAAUAACAAAACUUAGUAAAAUAAAUCAUUCACAACUAAAGUAUAGGAGAUAGAAAUUUUAUUUUUGGCGCUAUAGAGACAGUACCGUAAGGGAAAGAUGAAAGACAACUUUAAGUGAGUAAAAGCAAAGAUUAAAUCUUGUACCUUUUGCAUAAUGAAUUAACUAGAAAAUUUCUAGCACAAAGCAAUUAAAGUUAGAUACCCCGAAACCAGACGAGCUACAUAUGAGCAGCUAUUUGAGCCAACCCGUCUGUGUAGCAAAACAGUGGGAAGACUUGUAUGUAGAGGUGAAAAGCCUAUCGAGUCUGGAGAUAGCUGGUUACCCAAGCAAGAAUUUCAGUUCAACUUUAAUCUUACCUAAAGAACAAUAAAUCCUAUUUGUAAGAUUAAAUCAUAUUCUAAAGAGGGACAGCUCUUUAGAUAAGGAAAUAACCUGACAUAGAGAGUAAACUACCAUUCUAUACCACAGUUGGCUUAAGAGCAGCCAUCAGUUAAGAAAGCGUUCAAGCUCGACACAACAAUUUUCCUUAAUUUAUAUAGACUAGUUCAACUCCUAUAAAUUCAAUUGGGUUAAUCUAUUCCAUAAUAGAAGCAAUAAUGUUAAUAUGAGUAACAAGAAAAAAAAAUUCUCCUAGCAUAAACUUAUACCAACUUUAAUACUAUUGAUAGUUAACAUCAUAAUAUUAUUAAUUAAACUAAUAACAUAUUUAUUAUUAUGUUAAUCCAACACAGGAAUGCACCACUCAAGGAAAGAUUAAAAAAAGUAAAAGGAACUCGGCAAACACUAACCCCGCCUGUUUACCAAAAACAUCACCUCUAGCAUCCCAAGUAUUAGAGGCACUGCCUGCCCAGUGACAUAUGUUCAACGGCCGCGGUAUCCUGACCGUGCAAAGGUAGCAUAAUCAUUUGUUCCUUAAUUAGGGACUUGUAUGAAUGGCUUAACGAGGGUUUAACUGUCUCUUACUUUUAAUCAGUGAAAUUGACCUCCCAGUGAAGAGGCUGGGAUAACCUAAUAAGACGAGAAGACCCUAUGGAGCUUAAAUUAAAUAGCUUAAUUAUCACAUUAUAUAUCUAAAGAUAUCCAAUAAAUAGUAACAAUAAGCUAUCAAUUUCGGUUGGGGUGACCUCGGAGAAUAAACUAGCCUCCGAACGAUAAAAAUUAGACAAACUAGUCAAAUCUAUUUAUAUUUAUCAUAUUGACCCAAAAUAUUUGAUCAACGAAACAAGUUACCCUAGGGAUAACAGCGCAAUCCUAUUUUAGAGUUCAUAUCGACAAUAGGGUUUACGACCUCGAUGUUGGAUCAGGACAUCCUAAUGGUGCAACCGCUAUUAAAGGUUCGUUUGUUCAACGAUUAACAGUCCUACGUGAUCUGAGUUCAGACCGGAGUAAUCCAGGUCGGUUUCUAUCUAUUUUCAGCUUCUCCCAGUACGAAAGGACAAGAGAAGCAAGGCCAAUUAUUAGUAUUACGCCUUAAUUUUUAUAGAUGAACUAAUCUUAAUCUAGAACAAUUUACUCAAUUACCCUAAAAAAGGGUUC